UGAGGAAUAUUGGACAAUGGACGGAAAUCUGAUCCAGCCAUGCCGCGUGCAGGAAGACGGCCCUAUGGGUUGUAAACUGCUUUUGUAUGGGAGCAAAAAGGUCUAUGCGUAGACUGAUGAGAGUACCAUACGAAUAAGCAUCGGCUAACUCCGUGCCAGCAGCCGCGGUAAUACGGGGGAUGCAAGCGUUAUCCGGAUUUAUUGGGUUUAAAGGGUGCGUAGGCGGUUUGAUAAGUCAGCGGUGAAAUAUUUCAGCUUAACUGAAAGGGUGCCGUUGAUACUGUCAGUCUUGAAUAUGGUAGCUGUGGGUGGAAUGUGUGGUGUAGCGGUGAAAUGCUUAGAUAUCACACAGAAUAUCGAUUGCGAAGGCAGCUCACAAAGCCAUUAUUGACGCUGAUGCGCGAAAGUGUGGGGAUCAAACA
rnacentral:rRNA from 1 species